rnacentral:rRNA from 1 species
UACGAAGGGGGCUAGCGUUGUUCGGAAUUACUGGGCGUAAAGCGCACGUAGGCGGACAUUUAAGUCAGGGGUGAAAUCCCAGAGCUCAACUCUGGAACUGCCUUUGAUACUGGGUGUCUUGAGUAUGGAAGAGGUGAGUGGAAUUCCGAGUGUAGAGGUGAAAUUCGUAGAUAUUCGGCAAGAACACCAGUGGCGAAGGCGGCUCACUGGCCUGGUACUGACGCUGAGGUGCGAAAGCGUGGGGAGCAAACAGG